GAUGAACGCUGGCGGCGUGCCUAACACAUGCGAGUCGAGCGAUUUACUUCGGUAAAGAGCGGCGGACGGGUGAGUAACGCGUGGGUAACCUGCCCUGUACACACGGAUAACAUACCGAAAGGUAUGCUAAUACGAGAUAAUAUGCUUUUAUCGCAUGGUAGAAGUAUCAAAGCUUUUGCGGUACAGGAUGGACCCGCGUCUGAUUAGCUAGUUGGUGAGGUAACGGCUCACCAAGGCGACGAUCAGUAGCCGACCUGAGAGGGUGAUCGGCCACAUUGGAACUGAGACACGGUCCAAACUCCUACGGGAGGCAGCAGUGGGGAAUAUUGCACAAUGGGCGAAAGCCUGAUGCAGCAACGCCGCGUGAGCGAUGAAGGCCUUCGGGUCGUAAAGCUCUGUCCUCAAGGAAGAUAAUGACGGUACUUGAGGAGGAAGCCCCGGCUAACUACGUG
rnacentral:rRNA from 1 species